rnacentral:lncRNA from 1 species
CACGCAAUGUGUCUGCCGGAAACCCGUGCCCGGCGGUUGCCGUAGCUGUUUACGCGGCGAAGUGGCUCGCCGUCUCCGAGAGGCCGGCUAUGAUUGCGUCAGCUGUAAAUCCAAAUGGAGAAGCAAUCAUGAAAUCCCUGCAGGUAUAACAAAUUAAUCCCAUUUUAAGUUAAUUUUGAAAUUAUCCAUAACAUAGUUUACUAAUGAAGAUGAUUCGUGAAAAAAAACACGUCAACGGAGUUGGCUAGAUAAUCUAAAUAUAUACUAUAAUGUAUGAAGCAAGUUGUCAAUAUUUUAAUAGUUGGACUAACCAUGAUGUUUAUUUAUUGAAAACAUUAGGUGAGCAUGAAUAUUUGGAAAUUGUGGACCAAUCGGGAUCGAAGAAAGUCGAGAUCCGUGUGGUGAUCGAG